AUGCGGAUUAUUCGAUGCAACGCGAAGAACCUUACCAAGGCUUGACAUGCACAGGAAAGUUCCAGAGAUGGUUCCCCCGCAAGGUCUGUGCACAGGUGGUGCAUGGUUGUCGUCAGCUCGUGUCGUGAGAUGUUGGGUUAAGUCCCGCAACGAGCGCAACCCUUGUCUUAUGUUGCCAGCACGUAAUGGUGGGGACUCAUAAGAGACUGCCGGGGUCAACUCGGAGGA
rnacentral:rRNA from 1 species